UCACACGUGUUUCAUUACACGCAAGCAACAUCGAGUUGCUAAUGCUUAAAAAGAACCGGAAAAAGCAACCUCAACCACUGGCUGGCUCUAUAUUAACUCAUUCGGCCAUUAAACAAACCAAAAUUGAACUAUGAAAAGCCGGUUCACCAUGUAAAAUCGAUAAAUAAUGAGAUUUAAUAUGUUCUACAGACGAUCCAACUCCAACCAAUUCAUAUCACAAUUGCAAGCUUUACGUUAUCUCAUUAAGGCAUGCGAAACAAUGCCAGUAAAAAGCAAAAACAAAAUUGAAUUGACAAAUGAAAUUUGAAAAAACAACUGCAACCAUAUAUCUCCAACAUUUACAUGCAAUGGGAUUACAAUUCUAUAUACACACUUGCCUCGACCACGCUUCAACAAAAUUCAGCUGAACGUGUUACCCUAUUUCGGGAAGCAGCCCAAACAACUGUACUAUCAGAGAGAGAGAGAGAGAGAGAGAGAGAGAGAG
rnacentral:lncRNA from 1 species